UUUUUUAAAAUGUAAAUGGAGUAAAUGAUAAAAUGUAGACUGAAUUUAUCAUAAAGACAUUUUCUUUUGGUAUACUGCAAGGAACUAUGAACUUUUAGUAACUACUAUAAGCAACUGACAGGAAAAAAUGGCAACAGAAGAAGGAAAGAGGAGAGAAUGGGGAGCAGACACUAAGGUGUAGUGAAAGGAGGAAAAUGAAGGCUAAGUCUAAUGAUGUGAAUCCUCUUUGCAAGUCCAUCAAAGGAGGGAUCUUCCUACUGACCAGAAGACCUGAACAGCCUGAGAAUGAUUCCUUUCAACUCCGAGAGAAGAAGCUGCAGAUGAAGAGCAAGCCUGGGAUACAUGUGCAGAAUGUGCAGAAUGUGUACAUAGGUACACACUACCAUGGUGGUUUGCUGCACCCAUCAACUCGUCAUCUACAUUAGGAUACUGUUUACUGAAAACCCACCAAUCUGAUCUUUUAUGAGAAGCUAGUCCCUGAAAAGGCCCUUGGAUCAAAGGUCAAAAACUUGAAGCACAGAGUGGGAUGUCAGAUGCCAAGAUUUAAAUCUAGUCAUUUGAUUCCAGAGCCCACAUUCUUAAAUAAUAUGCUACACUGACCUUUAUUGUCUUUAAACAUUAUCUUUAUUUAAUGUGUUUCAUAGAAAUUACUUCUCAGGUAUUCCUAAAUUUAUUUUUAAAAAUAAUGUCAUGCUAUCACUAUAAUAUAGUUUUUUAAAUUAACUUGAGAGGUAAUGUAGUAUGAUCAACUUCCUUAAUGGCCUUUUAAACUGGAAAUAACUAUUAAAUAUUUUAAUAUUAUAAAUUAACAGGCAAAAUGGUGAAAAAUCUAACAUCUGGUUCUUAAAAGUAAGUUGAAAUAUAAGAUCAGAUUUGAAUGCACAUGGAAAAAUAGAACUGGCAAAUAAUGCCAUAUUUGAAGAUCUUUUAGUAUUCUCUGGUAUUUUUCCUUUCAUUUCAAAAUUGUUAUAUUCUUUUUAAUGACUUCAAAUGAAUUAGGAAAUGUCAGGCUUCUAAAAAUCAAACAGAACGUCCAACCAGUAGAUUUCAUUCAGGGCAGUGGGAGCCUGUUCGGUUGUUUCCUCUUUCCCCCUCACUUUUAAAAAUCCUCAAUCACUGCCAUUUCUCUUCUCAGCUUUCACAACACUUUACAGGCAGCUGAAUGAAAGGGCAGAAGCUUCCUCUGAAACUCCUGUUAUUUCAGCUCUAAAAUCAGCUGAAAAGGAUGCCCUCCCCAGAGACAGAAAUGCAUUCCCUCCAUCAUGAACCUGCAAUGCCCUCAGGUUGUGGCAAGGGAGAAGUUUAGCACUUGAACCUAGAUAACGCUAUUUUUUUAAUCAAAGUGCACCAUUCUUGUUUCAUAUGGCCUGUGGCACAAUUUAUUUAAAACAAUAUGGUGCAUCAAAGAAGGUAAACAAUAAUAACAAUAAUAAUAAUAUAGGAAUAGCAAUGUGCACAUAAAUAAUAUAGGAAAACACAUGGCCUCAGUACCUUCAUGAAAUGGGACUUCAAUAUACAUAUUUCUUAUACAGCUUUAUGCAUGACUUCAUUGCACUUCACUGCUCUGUUGUGUCACUCUACCAAUAAACCUAUACAUCAUACUGAGUGAAGUAUGUUCACAGUCCCUUUACUUGACAAAAAAAAAAAAAAAAAAAAAAAAAAG
rnacentral:lncRNA from 1 species